rnacentral:rRNA from 1 species
AUACGUAGGGGGCAAGCGUUGUCCGGAAUUAUUGGGCGUAAAGCGCGCGCAGGCGGUCUGUUAAGUCUCGUGUAUAACCCCAGGGCUCAACCUUGGGUGGCAUGGGAAACUGGUAGACUGGAGUGCAGGAGAGGAAAGUGGAAUUCCACGUGUAGCGGUGAAAUGCGUAGAGAUGUGGAGGAACACCAGUGGCGAAGGCGACUUUCUGGCCUGUAACUGACGCCGAGGCGCGAAAGCGUGAGGAGCAAACAGGAUUAGAUACCCUGGUAGUCCACGCCGUAAACGAUGAGUGCUAGGUGUCGGGGGUGUCAUGCCCUCGGUGCCGAAGUUAACACAGUAAGCACUCCGCCUGGGGAGUACGCUCGCAAGAGUGAA